AUUGAACGCUGGCGGCAGGCCUAACACAUGCCAGUCGAACGGUAACAGGAAGAAGCUUGCUUCUUUGCUGACGAGUGGCGGACGGGUGAGUAAUGUCUGGGAAACUGCCUGAUGGAGGGGGAUAACUACUGGAAACGGUAGCUAAUACCGCAUAACGUCGCAAGACCAAAGAGGGGGACCUUCGGGCCUCUUGCCAUCGGAUGUGCCCAGAUGGGAUUAGCUAGUAGGUGGGGUAACGGCUCACCUAGGCGACGAUCCCUAGCUGGUCUGAGAGGAUGACCAGCCACACUGGAACUGAGACACGGUCCAGACUCCUACGGGAGGCAGCAGUGGGGAAUAUUGCACAGUGGGCGCAAGCCUGAUGCAGCCAUGCCGCGUGUAUGAAGAAGGCCUUCGGGUUGUAAAGUACUUUCAGCGGGGAGGAAGGGAGUAAAGUUAAUACCUUUGCUCAUUGACGUUACCCGCAGAAGAAGCACCGGCUAACUCCGUG
rnacentral:rRNA from 1 species